AUCAUUUUUUGGUUCAUAAGUGUAAUGAUUGGGUUUUCAUGGUAUUGUGUCAGAUGUGCUUCCUUCUAAACCUUGUUAUGAUGUCAGUACAUUACCCAUCUGAUG